UUGGAAGGGAUCCUGCACACCUGAUCUAGUGGUUAGCAAUCCUGCCGGGAGGGCUGCAAAGAUCAUGUGAUCUUUAAGGUCCUCUCCAACCUAAGCCAUUCUACAAUUCUAUGAAUGUAGAAAAUCUGACAUCUGAAAAACUGACAUUUUUGUGUCAAUUUUGUCAGCAAAUUUAUAAAAUUGCCAACUCAGGGGACUUUGGCAGAAAUCAGGCUGCAUGAAAACAGACUAGAUUUCUCUAAUGGUGAGGAAAGUAACUACAUAGUCACAACUUAGAUGAACUGAAUCCAAAAGAACUUUAUGUUGAAAUAUUUUAGUUCUAUAAAAGAAGAAAUGUAUAAGGUAUUAAUCACAACGGCUGUAAAAAACAGGAAGAAGCGUACCUUGCUCCUAGAAGUCCUGCCAGAUAAACCAGGGAGUCUCUCUCUGCACCAGUAAAUUGGCUAAAAGAAAGAACACAGUCCACCAAAGGAGUAACUCCUUCCAUUACUGGGACUGGUGUGAAAAGUGGAUUGGACUGGGGAUCUAAGAGGAGCUGCUGUUCCACACACGUUACCUUAAAAAAAAAGAUGAUAUAGAUAAAAACACAAAUCAAGCCAAACUGCACCAGAAAACUGCAAUAACUCAGUAACUGUACAACAUCAUUUAUGGACUUGAUAACACGGAAUUCAGUUUCUGUAACUGCAUUUGAUAAAGUUUUUUCACAUGCAAUUAGACAAAUUCUUUUCUAGAUAACAUUAGCCUUGUCAGGUUUGACUGACUUGGGCAUUUUUCAGAACUUUCCCAUUACUACUCUUCCAACCCUGGAGGCUCCCUUGAAGUAGCUCAAGGCACGAUCUGACAGCCUGUAUAGUUUCACUUCACAGAAAUUUAUCUAAUACUGAAAAGUACUAACAGCACUUAAUCUAUGUCAUGUGCCUCCUCUUAGUAAACAAUUUCUUUUUUACUUCAAGCUGACUCACCCUCUGCCACAAGACAGAAAGCUGUAGUAAGAACAUAGCAAGAAACAGAAAGCCACCAGCAACUCUGCAUUCUAGCAAGACGUACUUAUAAUAGAUAUGUUUACUCAUUGGACUGAAAAUAUAACUCCCUUACCAGCCAUGUAUUCGUGACAACAUCACCAACAGUUGACUCCACAGAGCACCCCAAUAAAGGUACCACAGCAUAGUCUGCAAUGAUUCUGCUUUGCAGCGGCACAGUUUUCCCAGCAUGCUCCUUAAUCAGAUCUGCAAUGCAGGACUCAUCUUCUUCUCCAAAACCCAAAAGAAGAAAUCUCUUCCUGGCAAAUAAACCUUCAUCCAGUGCAGAAGGCUCUCCCAAAGAACCAUUACAGACAGAAGAAUGAUUCUCUUCUUGAACAGUCACAUGAGUAACAUCAUUGAAGCUACCAGAUGCUAGUUUCUCAGCUUCAACUAGAAGGAAGAAAAAAAAAAGAGUAGUAGUUUGACAAGAACAAAGACAACUCAAAAUAGCUUCAUGGAGAACGACUCCUAAAAAUACAAUACUGAAGUUAAAAUACUCAAUUUUUAAUGACUAAAUGCUUGAAAACUCAAAUUCUACAAGACCUGUUCAACUGUCUACGGCCUUGAACCUACCUAAUGUAGAAUCAUUACUGACAUACUGAGAGAGGAAGUCGUCUUCUGCAGCUUUCUGGAGCUUCACAACAUUCACAGCUUUCUUCUUUGACAUGCUGUUGUUUUUGGGAAGAACUAACUUUGCAUCGGGUUGUUCCAAAAUUGUAUUCGCUAACAGCUGGUAGUUUUGAGGGAUAUACUGCUCCACUGGACAGAGAUAGCCUUUAUUAAAUGACUCCAGUAGCCAUUUUGCUGUCACUAUAUGAGGCCUAUAAAAUAAAGUGUUACACAAACAAGUUA